GGCGAGGCAUGACAUUUAGGCAGAAAAAAACCCCACACAAACCAACAUGCAGAGGUGAGGGAAGAGAAGGAACAUGACUCUGUGAGACUGGAGCGGUCCCGGAGAGUGAGACAGGACAGUGUGUGAGAGACCACUUGUCUCAAAGGAUCAGACAAGCGAUGGAUGGAGUGAUGAUCAAGCAUCAGAGAGCAAGGCCCAUCACCCGGAAUGCCUGGGACACCGUCCAGGAAGCUUUGCUAUCCAGCCUUGAUUCCAGAAGUUCAACUUCAUCCUGUGAGGCAACCCAUGCUCCUGAAGAGUGCUCAACACAGAAGUGAUGGAUCAUCACCUAGCAACCACUGGAGGAGUGACUGAAGGAGGAAGGACUGGGAAUUGAAAUGCACAGCCUCCACGCUCAGUGAAC
rnacentral:lncRNA from 1 species